rnacentral:rRNA from 1 species
UACGUAGGGGGCGAGCGUUGUCCGGAAUCAUUGGGCGUAAAGAGCGUGUAGGCGGUUUGGUAGGUCUCGCGUUUAAAUCCCGCAGCUCAACUGCGGACGUGCGCGGGAAACCACCUCACUAGAGUCCGGAAGAGGAGAGUGGAAUUCCAGGUGUAGCGGUGAAAUGCGCAGAUAUCAGGAGGAACACCAGUGGCGAAGGCGGGUCAUCCU